UCGAUUGGACUCCUUUUCACACAAUGAACAACCAGCUUAGAACUGAUGCGGGCAAGGGGGAUCCGACUGUUUAAUUGAAACAAAGUAUUGCGAUGCCCUGAAAGGAUGUUGACACAAUGUGAUUUCUGCCCAGUGCUCUGAAUGUCAAAGUGAGGAGAUUCAACUAAGCGCGGGUAAACGGCGGGAGUAACUAUGACUCUCUUAAGGUAGCCAAAUGCCUCGUCAUCCAAUUAGUGACGCGCAUGAAUGGAUUAAUGAGAUUCCUACUGUCCCAAUCUACUGUCCAGCGAAACCACAGCCAAGGGAACGGGCUUGGGUGAGUCAGCGGGGAAAGAAGACCCUGUUGAGCUUGACUCUAAUCCGACUUUGUGAAAUGACUUAGGAGGAGUAGGAUAUGUGGGAGCUCAGGUGAUCUUGAAAUACCACUACUUUUAAUGUCACUUUACUUACUCUAUCCAACUGUGCCCUGCCUCACAGCAGGUUUUUGCUUUUAAGGUUGCUCUUUUGGCGUGUUGAUUUGCGUAGAAGACGUCGUCCGGUGGGGAGUUUGGCUGGGGCGGCACAU
rnacentral:rRNA from 1 species